rnacentral:lncRNA from 1 species
AUGCACUUUUGUUGAAUUAAUUGAUAACUAGAUAUUUUUGGCAAGCAGAUUAAAACAAAUCAUUUUGAAUGUAUAAGAAUUACCUUCAGUCUUCAUAAGCCAUAUGUUCUUACAUUUCUAUAUUGUAGUUGUGUGACCCUAGCUUAUAGCAUUGUGUUCCAACACAACUUUUCAAUCUUUUCCCCUCUAACUUUUGAAUCUGUGAACUGGAACUUGCUUGCAUUUAAGACUGCAAAGUGUGUGUUCUUAGCAAACAGGAAUCCAGU